rnacentral:misc_RNA from 1 species
AAUUGUGCUAUAUUGAAAUGGAAUUGGUGGGAUUACCUUUUCAAUUUUCAUCAGGCAAUCAGUUCUAGCUUUAUGUGAAAAAUGGUUGCUUUUGGAAAAAAGUUGAAGGACAGACAGAUCCAAGAAUGGCAAGGAUAUUACAUCAACUACAAAUUAAUGAAGAAAAAGGUUAAGCAGUACGAUAACCAAAUUAAAGCUGGAUCACUCGAUCGUCGACAUGUUCUUAAGGAUUUCUCACGGAUGCUAGACAAUCAGAUUGAAAGAAUUGUUCUGUUUAUGUUGGAACAACAAGGAGUGCUGGCAAGCAGGAUAUCUGAACUUAAUAAACAGCAAGAGUCUCUUCAAGAACAGCCUGAUAUAUCCAAAAUAAUUGAGUUGCGUGAAUCUUAUAGAGAUGUGGGGCGUGAUCUUCUGAAGCUUCUUUUUUUCGUUGAAAUAAAUGCCAUUGGAUUGCGGAAGAUCCUCAAGAAAUUUGACAAACGUUUUGGGUAUCGGUUCACUGAUUAUUAUGUCAAAACCCGGGCUAAUCAUCCUUAUUCGCAACUUCAGCAAGUUUUCAAGCAUGUGGGGCUAGGGGCAGUUGUUGGAGCAAUAUCUCGUAAUCUUGCUGACCUUCAGGACCGUCAAGGAAGCUACUUGUCAAUUUAUGACCAGCCUUCUCUUCCGCUCCAGGAUUCUGUUGUUGAUUCAUUGCAAGCAGCUGUUGAUAGAUUAAGUCAUUCAACAAACUUCCUUAACUUUUUG